rnacentral:tRNA from 1 species
AGGCUUAGGAUAAUUAGACCAAAGGCCUUCAAAGCCUUAAGCAGAAGCUCAACCCUUCUAGCCUUUG